AUUGAACGCUGGCGGCAGGCCUAACACAUGCAAGUCGAACGAGUGGCGGACGGGUGAGUAAUGUCUGGGAAACUGCCCGAUGGAGGGGGAUAACUACUGGAAACGGUAGCUAAUACCGCAUACAAUCGGAUGAGCCCAGAUGGGAUUAGCGAGUAGGUGGGGUAACGGCUCACCUAGGCGACGAUCCCUAGCGGGUCUGAGGGGAUGACCGGCCACACUGGAACUGAGACACGGUCCAGACUCCUACGGGAGGCCGCAGUGGGGAAUAUUGCACAAUGGGCGCAAGCCUGAUGCAGCCAUGCCGCGUGUAUGAAGAAGGCCUUCGGGUUGUAAAGUACUUUCAGCGGGGAGGCGUUACCCGCAGAAGAAGCACCGGCUAACUCCGUGCCAGCAGCCGCGGUAAUAC
rnacentral:rRNA from 1 species